rnacentral:rRNA from 1 species
GACGAACGCUGGCGGCGCGCUUAACACAUGCAAGUCGAACGAUGAAGCCGGAGCUUGCUCUGGUGAAUUAGUGGCGAACGGGUGAGUAACACGUGAGUAACCUGCCCUUGACUCUGGGAUAACUGCUAGAAAUGGUAGCUAAUACCGGAUACGACCCUCGGAGGCAUCUCCAGGGGGUGGAAAGAAUUUCGGUCAAGGAUGGACUCGCGGCCUAUCAGCUAGUUGGCGAGGUAACGGCUCACCAAGGCGACGACGGGUAGCCGGCCUGAGAGGGUGACCGGCCACACUGGGACUGAGACACGGCCCAGACUCCUACGGGAGGCAGCAGUGGGGAAUAUUGCACAAUGGGCGCAAGCCUGAUGCAGCAACGCCGCGUGAGGGAUGACGGCCUUCGGGUUGUAAACCUCUUUUAGUAGGGAAGAAGCGAAAGUGACGGUACCUGCAGAAAAAGCACCGGCUAACUACGUGCCAGCCGCCGCGGUAA